UUUCUGGGUCCUUUUCUUUAAGUUAUUGCAGACGAAAGCCUGAGAAGUACCUUUUAUUUUCCUUCAACAAUAUGUUUGCAGUUACCUUAAUGUUGAAGAAUAAAAUAAAAAUCAGCCUGUCCUUGAAAAUUUGAGGGCAGAGGAAGUAGAAAUAAAAAAAUAAAUAAAAACAGAGCCAGAAGGGACCAAAGAGAACCUUGUUAUAAGAAUAAUGGCAAACACUGAUACUCAAACAACACCACACUCGAAGCAUUGCUGCAAAGGCUUUCAAACAAUUUGCACAAGGCCUCUAUUUGACAGAGAAGGAAAUUCACAGCACGGUGAAGUGGCCCAAGGUAAGGCAGCCAGGAUUUAAGCCCCUGAUCCAGGCUCUUGACCACUCUACACACUCCACACACUUCUACCUUCCCCAUGUUCUAAGUGGGAAACUGAGUUCCAGAGAGAAGCCGUGACUCUCCCAAAGUGAGUCAGCUGUGAAUAAAGCCAUAUUCUCCUUCUUUCUUCAUUCUGGGGCUCUUCUCUUAUGCCUCAA
rnacentral:lncRNA from 1 species